GCCCGGUUAGCUCAAUCGGUAGAGCGUGAGACUCUUACGGGUUCACAAUAGCUCAAAUCUCAAGGUUGCGGGUUCGACCCCCGCAUCGGGCU